rnacentral:misc_RNA from 1 species
AAUACUCCAGCGAGGGCAGCG